AAGGAGAGGAGGGAGGAGGGAGAGAAGGAGAGAAGGAGAGAAGGAGAGAAGGAGAGAAGGAGAGAAGGAGAGAAGGAGAGAAGGAGAGGAGGGAGGAGGGAGAGAAGGAGAGAAGGAGAGAAAGAGAGAAGGAGAGGAAGAGAGGAGGGAGAGAAGGAGAGAAGGAGAGGAGGGAGGGAGAUGAAGAACCUACAGUAAUAAGAAAGGAUCAGUCGAGGGGUUCUCAAGGACAGCAGAAAAUUGAUUUUGCAGCUACGUGUUUUGUCGUGUGUGUUUAAUUUGCAAGGUGUGUGUGUUUUAGGUCUUCUUUUCCUGCCACUGUCUAUGUUGGUGGUGAGUCUUUGUUCCUUUGCCAAUAUACUGUGUCACCACCUGUAUCCCCAUUGCUCCAGAGGCCAAGGAGAGCAUGGUGACUUCUGUACCCAGGGAAGGAGAGGGGAAGNAAGGAGAGUUGAGGAGAAAGGGAAGAGAGGGGAUUAGAGGAGAGGAACAGAGGAGAGGACUACUUGACUACUUGAGACUACUGGAUCAUCAGACAUUGUUGAAGCUCUCGUCAUUCAGUGUUCAAAUGACAUAUGCACACACACACACACACUAACAACACACACCCCACAAACAAACAAAAACACAGACACGGUCAUGUCAGUGAAUGAUGAUGUAUCGAUGGCUUCCCCUCCUCCAAUCCUAACCUUAAAACUUCUUAUGGCUGCAAUCCACUUAACGGGAUGAUAUGACAACAGCCAGUGAAAGUGCAGGGCGCCAAAUUCAAAACAACAGAAAUGUCAUAAUUAAAAUUCCUCAAACAUACCUCAAACAUACAUGUAUCUUAUACUGUUUAAAAGGUAAUAUUGUUGUUAAUCCCACCACAGUGUCCAAUUUUUAACCAGUUGCAUCUCUAGGGGCGCUAUUUCAUUUUUGGAUGAAAAACGUUCCCGUUUUAAGCGCAAUAUUUUGUCACGAAAAGAUGCUCGACUAUGCAAGUUUUGGAAAGAAAACACUCUGAAGUUUCAGAAUCUGCAAAGAUUUUGUCUGUAAGUGCCCCAGAACUCAUUCUACAGGCGAAACCAAGAUGAUACGUCAAACAGGAAAUGAGCAGAAUUUCUGAAGCUCUGUUUUCUAAUGUCUCCUUAUAUGGCUGUGAAUGCGACAGGAAUAAGCUUAGACCUUCUGCCCUUUCCCCAAGAUGUCGGCAGCAUUGUGACGUAUUUGUAGGCAUAUCAUUGGAAGAUUGACCAUAAGAGACUACAUUUUCCAAGUGUCCGCCUGGUGUCCUGCGUCGAAACUGGUGCGCAAAGCCAGGUGCAAGUAUUUUUCCAUUUGAUUGAGAGGGGAAACCAUGCUUCCACGAACGAUAUAUCAUCGAAGAGAUAUGUGAAAAACACCUUGAGGAUUGAUUCUAAACAACGUUUGCCAUGUUUUCAGUCGAUAUUAUGGAGUUAAUUUGGAAAAAAGUUCGCGUUUUGAGGACUGAAUCUUCGUUUUUUUUUGGUAGCCAAAUGUGAUGUAAAAAACAAAGCUAUUUCUAAUACACAAAGAAUAUUUUUGGAAAAACUGAGCAUCUGCUAUCUGACUGAGAGUCUCCUCAUUGAAAACAUCUGAAGUUCUUCAAAGGUAAAUUAUUUUAUUUCAAGGCUUUUAUGUUUUUGUUGAAAUGUUGCGUGCUGGAUGCUAACGCUAAUGCUAACGCUAAAUGCUACGCUAGCUAGCUACUUUUACACAAAUUAUUAUUUUCCUAUGGUUGAGAAGCAUAUUUUGAAAAUCUGAGAUGACAGUGUUGUUUACAAAAGGCUAAGCUUGAGAGAUGGCAUAUUUAUUUCAUUUCAUUUGUGAUUUUCA
rnacentral:lncRNA from 13 species